rnacentral:rRNA from 1 species
GCCCUCCUACGGGAGGCAGCAGUGAGGAAUAUUGGUCAAUGGCCGGAAGGCUGAACCAGCCCCUUCUCGUUCGGGAAUAAGGCCCUAUGGGUCGUAAACCUCUUUUGUCAGGGAGCAAAGGCGUCCACGAGUGGACGAAAGGAGAGUACCUGAAGAAAAAGCAUCGGCUAACUCCGUGCUAGCAGCCGCGGUAAUACGGAGGAUGCGAGCGUUAUCCGGAUUUAUUGGGUUUAAAGGGUGCGUAGGCGGAGUGUCAAGUCAGCGGUAAAAUUUCGGGGCUCAACCCCGU